GCCGACCGGAAAACUGCCCAUAUCCAAUCAGACCGAUAGCCUUGAUGAAGGCUGCAGCCAAUGACUGCCCGGCACUGGACAGACUGGUGGGAUAGGACAGAUGCUAGGACAGCCCCUACCUGUCUCCUCGCUGCCAAGGAAGGCUGGAAGGACCCACAGCCAAGAGGCCUCUUCAAACUCUUCUUUGCCUGGAACUCCACCAUGUUCUAAAGGGUAAGAGACCAAAACCCAACCCAAGUCACAAGAAGAACAACAAUGGCUGGCUAUUCAAGACAAGGCCUUCAGUCAAACCCACAGCCCACCGAUAUGGCUGGCCAGCUUGCUCUGGGGAGUCCAAGCUCCACCCUGGAGUUUAGAGUCACACGCAGGCUGACGAGCUCAUAGAGUGAGGAUUUUGGAAUCUUGGUUUCCUUAAAAACACU
ensembl:lncRNA